AGUUUCUCGAUAAUUGAUCUGUAGAAUCUGUCAAGCAAAACCCCAAAACCUUACACUGAGAGCAUUUAGCCUGAUUACUCUUUAAAUCAAAUCAGGCAAUAGAGAGAAACUCGAGAGGUGAAAACCCCACAGCAUUCUGAAAUGUAUUUGGGAGUAAUCUCAUAUUAGUUUGCUGUCCUCUCAUCUUUU
rfam:Euplotes aediculatus telomerase RNA gene, complete sequence.